UCGGGUGUGCGUAUAUAUAAAAAAUGCGGGACCCACUUCUCUGAUGAAUGGGUCUCUUUUCCCAAAGUUUCCGUACUAGCUAGCCAUCUUCUAUUUUUAUUUUUGGUACAAACGAGCCACUUCUAUUGCUUUUUGGAGAGGGGAGAGAGAGACGUCUCUUCCCUUCACCUCUCUUCCCUUGCAGAGGCUGCUCCUGUUGUGGAGUCAGUUUCUCCUGGUAUCUUUGUUUUACUCUCCCUCGCUUGGGGAGUUGAUGGCCCGCUGCCGCCGCUGCCGCUGCCGCCGCUGCGUCCCCUCUGGUGCUGCAGUAAAUAAAAGUAAAUAAUUGCCUCCCGCUGAAAGGGUGGUGCUAACAGAAGAGGUGUGUGGGCGGCUGGCAGUUCGCAGAAUGCGCCAAUGGAGUGGAGGCACGCUUGAGGACUUGCCGGUCAAGCCGCGGCCUCCGGCUUUGGAAAGACCGCCGCGACCGGGACGGAACGAGCCCAGAAGAUAUGAUAUGAGAGUGACCGACACCGUGAUGAAUGGGUUGGGUCAAACGAGGCAACCCAAAAGCCAGCACAAACUGCCCCUCUUCUCUUACCACCUCCUGCCUUUAAUUUCUUUUCUUUCUCCCUUUUUCCCACUACCUCCGCUGUAAAAAUCUCUGAUGCUUAUCCCUUUCCCCGAAAACGUUAAGAUUCGUACUGUUCCCGCAAAUCAUAUCGUAUCUUGACCCUAUUCGCCCCCUGCCACCUUCCCACUCGCAUUCCAUUUCCGCGCCUUACCAUAAACAGGAACCCUGCAUGAUGUACGUGUACUUUCUCUCACAGUGGUGUCAAAAGAUGCUUGUCGACAGUAAUAA
rnacentral:lncRNA from 1 species